rnacentral:lncRNA from 1 species
UUUUAGAAAAGAGAAUCAAAUUGAUAAAAAGAUAGACUUGGAAACAUGCUCUUCCAAGUGAGCUUUAGGUACAAGAAAGCAACAUAAACCAAAAGAAGAAGAAAAAAAACAUUCUAAUACAAUAAGAGAUACUACUGCAGUAGAGAGAAACUAGAAACAAAGACUAGGAAAAGCAGCAGCAAACUAAGUUAGAAGACUACUACAGAUAUCUAAAGUCUAAAACUAUCCGAUAAAAAACUUUGAGCAAGGCAGGCCACGCAAAGCAAGCAAUCUCCACUCAAAUCCUUCUACCUCAAUCACGUAUCAUGGCGCACUUGAAGUAAAGGUGACAGCCUCUCUACUGAUAUUCAUUUCACUGUGAGGGAAUGCAGCGUACCCAUAAAUUGAAACAAGACUCAGCGUACCAAUCAAUUGAAACAAGACUCAAAUACCAGAUCAAGUUCUUCUGAGAAGCAAUUUUAUUGGUAAAAAGCCCAGAUAGAAGUAGUUCUUGUCACUCCUGACUUUGCAAAAUAAUCAGCCUUGGUGUUAGCUUGACACCAGAAUACUGAACUUCAACCAUUAACAAGUCUAUCCGAGCCAAUUCUUGUAGCAGCUUCCAUGGUCUGUUGUUUUUCGACAUCACCCACCCUUGGUCAUAGUUCUGGGACGAUUUUCAUAUUUAUCCCUAUUUACUAUAAAAUGUUGUAAACCUUAUUGGAGUCUAUAUAUAUAAUAAACACUAAACUCAAUUGCACUUUUAGUCCUUCUAAUUUAGC